UAUACGCCCGUAUAAAAUACGGGACGUAUUAUGUGAAACCCCUUGGCGGGCGGGCGGGCGGCGGGCGGAAGGCAUCACUUUGUCCGGACUCUAAUUCAAAUUGUAUUCAUCCGAUCUUCACCAAACUUGGUCAGCAGUUGCAUCUAGUUGAUAUCUAGGCCAAGUUCGAAUAUGGGUCAUGCCGGGUCAAAAACUAGGUCAUAGGGUCAAUAAGUGCAUUUUCAAAGGGGCCACUUUGUCCGGACUCUAUUUCAAAUUGUAUUCAUCCGAUCUUCACCAAACUUGGUCAGCAGUUGCAUCUAGUUGAUAUAUAGGCCAAGUUCGAAUAUGGGUCAUGCCGGGUAAAAAACUAGGUCAUAGGGUCAAUUAGUCCAUUUUCAACAGCGCCACUUUGUCCGGACUCUUAUUCAAAUUGUAUUCAUCCGAUCUUUACCAAACUUGGUCAGUAGUUUCAAGAUAAGUAAUAUCAGUACAGGAAAUACUGCCAUUCUAUACCUAUGUAGGUCUAAACAAUUAUGAUUUAAAUAUUGUGUUUUAGAGAACAAAUGAGACUAAGUGUACACUUAUUGAUAUCAAUGCAUAUAUAUGAAUAUAUCAGUUAUAUAAGU